rnacentral:rRNA from 1 species
AAGGUAGCAUAAUCAUUUGCCUUUUAAUUGAAGGCUUGUAUGAACGGACACACGAGGGCACAGUUGUCUCUCUUAUGGCCCUGUAAAUUAUCCUUUAGGUGAAGAGACCUAAAUAAUAUAAAAAGACGAAAAGACCCUAUGGAGCUUUACUUUAAUUUCCUUCUUAUAAAACAAAACAUACAAAAGUUAACAAAGUUUAGUUGGGGCGACUAAGGAGCACAAUAAACCCUCCUCACUACCCCGUCGGACAUUCGCCUCACAAUGAUCCACCCCAGUGAACACAGACCCAGCUACCCUAGGGAUAACAGGCUAAUCCUCCUCAAGAGCCCAAAUUAACAGGAGGGGUUGGCACCUCGAUGUUGGCUUAAGGUCCCUCCAAGGUGCAGCCGCUUUGAGAGUGGGUUUGUUCAACCCUUAAAACCUUACGUGAUC